AGGGCCGAGGAGGCUGGACCCUCAACAGUGCCGGCUACCUCCUGGGUCCCGAGCUCCACCUUCUUCAGAGCAGGCACCGCGGCAGCGGGAAGAAGACAGCCCUGGAGGUCCCGGAGCGCGUGGGGCAUUCACGGGCUCCCCAAUCCCCACCCUCAGCAGGCCACCAAGAGGAGUCCGAGGGAGACCUUGGCCAAACCAGAGAUGGCA